AUUGAACGCUGGCGGCAUGCCUUACACAUGCAAGUCGAACGGUAACAGGUCUUCGGAUGCUGACGAGUGGCGAACGGGUGAGUAUUACAUCGGAACGUGCCUAGUAGUGGGGGAUAACUACUCGAAAGAGUGGCUAAUACCGCAUGAGAGCUACGGAUGAAAGCAGGGGAUCGCAAGACCUUGUGCUACUAGAGCGGCCGAUGGCAGGUUGGGUAGUUGGUGGGAUAAAAGCUUACCAAGCCGACGAUCUGUAGCUGGUCUGAGAGGACGAUCAGCCACACUGGGACUGAGAAACGGCCCAGACUCCUACGGGAGGCAGCAGUGGGGAAUUUUGGACAAUGGGCGCAAGCCUGAUCCAGCAAUGCCGCGUGCAGGAUGAAGGCCUUCGGGUUGUAAACUGCUUUUGUACGGAACGAAAAGCCCCGGGUUAAUACCCUGGGGUCAUGACGGUACCGUAAGAAUAAGCACCGGCUAACUACGUGCCAGCAGCAGCCGCCG
rnacentral:rRNA from 1 species